GAAGCAAAUUUUGGACUUUCUGCCAAUCAGGUGGAACAAACAGCAGUUGGAAUGUUAGAGAGAAGAUAUUGACAAGAAUGACAGUUGGUGGGGGGAGGGGCAACUGGGAGUGGCAGUUGGUCUGGUGAUGCUCUCUCUUCCUGGCCCUUAGACUAAAAGGUGCCUGUCUGGAUAGAAGUGCCUCUAUUCCUGAUUUUCCCAGGGUCUCCCCUGCUCACGUGCUAUUGGUGGCUGGUGGCAGCGUGCUGAGUGUCUUGGUAUCUUGGCGUGGCAGAAGCUAUUGUCCGGGUUUGGCGAGACUUGGAAAGGUGAUUAGAGCAAGGUCAAAGACUCUGAAAAUGGAAGACAAUGUUCUGUGUUUAAAAACUGGAACAACCAAACUGGCUACCUUCAAAGAAACAUAAACCUACUUCUCCUUCUUCAGGAUGGAUGACUUCCUUGGAUAAAGUCACUUCUAACUUGCUACACAGAAAAACCAAAAAUAAAAAACCUGAGAGGAAGCA
rnacentral:lncRNA from 1 species